rnacentral:rRNA from 1 species
UACAGAGACUGCAAGCGUUAUUCGGAUUCACUGGGCGUAAAGGGUGCGCAGGCGGUCGGGUGUGUCAGAUGUGAAAUCCCGAGGCUUAACCUCGGAACUGCGUCUGAAACUACUCGACUAGAGUACUGGAGAGGGUAACGGAAUUCACGGUGUAGCAGUGAAAUGCGUAGAUAUCGUGAGGAACACCAGAGGCGAAGGCGGUUACCUGGACAGUUACUGACGCUCAGGCACGAAAGCAUGGGGAGCAAACAGG